rnacentral:rRNA from 1 species
AGGACGAACGCUGGCGGCGUGCUUAACACAUGCAAGUCGAGCGGAAAGGCCCUUCGGGGUACUCGAGCGGCGAACGGGUGAGUAACACGUGAGCAACCUGCCCUUAGCUCCGGGAUAGCUCCGGGAAACCGGAAUUAAUACCGGAUACAACCACGGCCGACAUCUGCUGUGGUGGAAAGGAUUCCGGCUAAGGAUGGGCUCGCGGCCUAUCAGCUAGUUGGUGGAGUAACGGCCCACCAAGGCGACGACGGGUAGCCGGCCUGAGAGGGCGACCGGCCACACUGGGACUGAGACACGGCCCAGACUCCUACGGGAGGCAGCAGUGGGGAAUUUGCGCAAUGGGGGAAACCCUGACGCAGCAACGCCGCGUGGAGGAUGAAGCCCCUUGGGGUGUAAACUCCUUUCGACUGGGAAGAUUAUGACGGUACCAGUGGAAGAAGCACCGGCUAACUCUGCGCCAGCAGCCGC